AGCAGCCGCGGUAAUUCCAGCUCCAAUAGCGUAUAUUAAAGUUGCUGCAGUUAAAAAGCUCGUAGUUGAAUUUCGGGACCAUCAUGUCGGUCGUGCCUCGGUACGUACUGGCAUUGUUGGUUUCUCCCUUCUGACGAACCAUGAUGUCAUUUAUUUGGUGUUGUGGGGAAUCAGGACUGUUACUUUGAAAAAUUAGAGUGUUUAAAGCAGGCUCACGCUUGAAUACAUUAGCAUGGAAUAAUGAAAUAGGACGUUUGAUUCUAUUUUGUUGGUUUCUAGGAUCGACGUAAUGAUUAAUAGGGAUAGUUGGGGGCAUUAGUAUUCAAUUGUCAGAGGUGAAAUUCUUGGAUUUAUUGAAGACUAACUACUGCGAAAGCAUUUGCCAAGGAUGUUUUCAUUAAUCAAGAACGAAAGUUAGGGGAUCGAAGACGAUCAGAUACCGUCGUAGUCUUAACCAUAAACUAUGCCGACUAGGGAUCGGAUGAUGUUAAUUUUUAAUGACUCAUUCGGCUCCG
rnacentral:rRNA from 1 species